rnacentral:rRNA from 1 species
ACCCAGACUCCUACGGGAGGCAGCAGUGGGGGAUAUUGCACAAUGGGGGAACCCUGAUGCAGCGACGCCGCGUGGGUGAAGGAGUAUUUCGGUAUGUAAAGCCCUAUCGGCAGGGAAGAGGCAAGACGGUACCUGACUAAGAAGCCCCGGCUAACUACGUGCCAGCAGCCGCGGUAAUACGUAGGGGGCGAGCGUUAUCCGGAUUCACUGGGUGUAAAGGGAGCGUAGACGGCCAAGCAAGCCAGGGGUGAAAGCCCGGGGCCCAACCCCGGGACUGCCCUUGGAACUGCUUGGCUGGAGUGCGGGAGGGGCAGGCGGAAUUCCUGGUGUAGCGGUGAAAUGCGUAGAUAUCAGGAGGAACACCGGCGGCGAAGGCGGCCUGCUGGACCGCUACUGACGUUGAGGCUCGAAAGCGUGGGGAGCGAACAGGAUUAGAUACCCGUGUAC